rnacentral:rRNA from 1 species
AUGACAUGGCAUUAUCUGGUCCACCCAGUGUGCACUCCCACGAUGGGCAGCCCAACCCACCGAUCUGUCUCUCUCUUAUCGCACGAUCUCUCUCUCUCUCCCUUAUCCCACGAUCUCUCUCUACCACGUGACUUGGUCUCCCACGUACCCAUCUCUCUCUCUUACGGGCACACUACAGCGGCAAGAUCGAGCGGCACAGGCGAGGAGAGAAGGAGACGCUGGCGGCACGGCACCGGCCAGCGAGCUCUGGCGCCUCCUCCCUCUGGCGCCUCCUCCCUGCGACGCCUCCUCACUCCGACGAGCAGCGCGACGCGGCCUCCUCCCUCUGACGACUCCUCCCUCCGGCGCCUCCUCCCUCCGGCGAGCAGCAUGGUGCGGCCUCCUCCCUCUGACGACUCCUCCCUCCGACGCCUCCUAACUCCGGCGAGCAGCACGGGCGGCGCGGCACGGGCCGUUGAGUAG